rnacentral:tRNA from 1 species
AAGUAAGAAACAAACUAUUGUAUUUAGUUUCGACCUAAAAUUUUGAUAAACUUUAUCCUUACUUU